rnacentral:rRNA from 1 species
AUACGUAGGGUGCAAGCGUUAAUCGGAAUUACUGGGCGUAGAGCGUGCGCAGGCGGUUUUGUAAGACAGUGGUGAAAUCCCCGGGCUCAACCUGGGAACUGCCAUUGUGACUGCAAGGCUGGAGUGCGGCAGAGGGGGAUGGAAUUCCGCGUGUAGCAGUGAAAUGCGUAGAUAUGCGGAGGAACACCGAUGGCGAAGGCAAUCCCCUGGGCCUGCACUGACGCUCAUGCACGAAAGCGUGGGGAGCAAACAGGAUUAGAUACCCUGGUAGUCCACGCCCUAAACGAUGUCAACUGGUUGUUGGGGAUUUAUUUUCUCAGUAACGAAGCUAACGCGUGAAGUUGACCGCCUGGGGAGUACGGCCGCAAGGUUAAAACUCAAAGGAAUUGACGGGG